AUGAAAAAAAUCAAUUUUCAUUUCGCUGUAUUUUAAAAACUAAUUGUCCAAAAUUGGCGAAAUUUGGAAAAAAAAUUGUUUAGGGCGUUGAUAUAAAUUUAUUUCUUUCAUUAGACGACCAUCAUUUGGGACGCUUCAACGGGCCAGUGCACGCAGCAGUUUGCUUUCCAUUCCACCACAGCACUCGACGUAGAUUGGCAGUCGAAUGUCAGUUUUGCCUCAUGCUCCACUGACCAGUGUAUUCAUGUUUGUAAGCUGGGCAGUGACAAGCCAACCGCAUCAAUGAUCUCCAAAUUAAAGCAAGCCUGUGGCUUCGAGUAUACUUUGAAUCUUCAGCGUAUGUUUCAAGACAUUGGAGUCAGUAAAGAUCUCAACGAACAAUGUAAGCGACAUCUGGCCAACUCUGCUGAACCACUCGACAUCGAUUUCAGUAUUCAGGUCCUGUCAUCUGGUUCUUGGCCGUUUCAGCAAUCAGUCAAUUUUUCUCUUCCAUCUGAACUCGAGCGCUCCGUCCAACGUUUUACUACUUUUUACAGCAGCCAGCACAGUGGGCGCAAACUGCUCUGGCUCUUUCAAAUGUCUAAAGGCGAAUUAGUCACCAACUGUUUCAAAAAUAGAUACACACUUCAGGUUUCUGAUAAUUUGGUUUAGAUUACAGUUAUUAAAAAAAUUUGUAACACCAUUUAUUCUUAUAGGCAUCAACUUCUAUAGGCCAAUCAUUUUUGUGAUGCAACUGGAAUCAAAAUGGAUUUACUACUGCAGGUGGCGCAGAUUCUCUUAAAAUCGAAGCUCUUGUCGUCUGAAGACGACGAAAAUGAUUUGCAACAAACUUCUCUCUCUUUGUUGGAUACAAAAACAAAAAGUUGCGUGUUAACAUCAACAUUCCAAUGAAGGCUGAAUUGAAACAAGAGCAAGAAGCCACGCAACGGCAUUUAGAAGAGGAUCGAAAGCUACUGAUCCAAGCGGAACUUGUACGCAUCAUGAAGAUGCGC